GUGUAUGGUCCCUGCUCUUAAGAUGCUUAAAGUGAGGGAGACAGUCAUGAAACAUUAACUGUAAUUCUAACUUGCGACAGAUGCUAUGAAGGAAAUCCCCAGAGUACCACGGUGGAAAUUAAUUGGAGGGAGAAAGCAUCCUGCUAUUGAUUGGGUGGUCAGGCACACAAUCAGAUCCAAGGUACCUCUGAGGUAAUAAUGAAACUGAGACCUAACAAUGAGAAGAAACCAGUCAUGUGAACACUAAGAAAAAAAAAAAAAAGAAAUUCACAUAGAAUAUAGAAUACUGUGGGUCCAGAACCCAGGAUGGAAGAGAACCAGCAGGUUAGAGGAAGUGAAGGAAGGCUGGCGCCUCAUGAAUGAGUGAGUGAAUGGCAGAAUGGCAUCAGGUAGCACUUGAGAGUUGGUCUGCUCUCAACCACACCAUGCAGAAGGAAGACAAGGAGGUUGACUGAAUUUCAUUCUAAUGUAAAAAGAAGCCCUUAAAGGACUUUGAGGUCAUGAUAAGUCCCACAGGGGCCUGGAACAACUACAGCAGCGGUGAAGAGAGAGAGAAGGACAGGAUCUAAUAGACAGAAAUAACAGGAUUUGGUGACCAACUGCAACUGAGUAAUGAAAGAGAAGCUGGAGGGGCCACCCGCAGUGGGCACACUUAACUUCCAACUUCGGCUCAGGUUAUGAUCUCACCAUUGGAAAAUCUCUAGGUGUGUCUUAAUGGAGAAAAAAAGAAAGCAUGUUAAGUGGAAGAUAUUUCCAACAACAAUAAAGGAGAGAUCUUAAAUCAGAAGUUUUCAAAGUGCCUGCUUCCUACAGGGGCAUGCUGGGCCUAGGACACGAUUGGAUCCUACCUUCACCCGUUUCAGCAGGAUACUGCAGCUUGAUUCUGAUUAGAAGUUGAGCUGAAUCCUGACUGCCUAGAAGACUGUCG